rnacentral:rRNA from 1 species
UACGAGGGAGCCACGUUGUCCGGAUUCAUUGGCGUAAAGGGUGCGUAGGCGGCGCGGUAAGUCGGUGUGAAUCUCGGAGCUUAACUCCGAAACUGCAUUCGAUACUGCCGUGCUUGAGGACUGGAGAGGAGACUGGAAUUACGGUGUAGCGGUGAAAUGCGUAGAUAUCGUUGGAACGCCAAGGUGAAACAGUUGCUGGAUUGUGCUGACGCUGAGACACGAAGCAGGAGCAACGG